rnacentral:rRNA from 1 species
UACGAAGGGAGCAAGCGUUAUUCGGAAUGAUUGGGUGUAAAGGGUACGUAGGUUGUCUUUCAAGUUCCAGGUGAAAUCCCUAAGCUCAACUUAGGAACUGCCUGGAAAACUAAAAGACUAGAGUUUGGUAGAGGACGAUGGAAUUUCUAGUGUAGGGGUAAUAUCCUUAAAGAUUAGAAGGAACACCAAUGGCGAAGGCAGUCGUCUGGGCCAAUACUGACACUGAGGUACGAAAGCGUGGGGAGCAAACAGG